UGAAUACGAGAUGCUACGGCGUCGAAGCAGUGUAUGUCAGACUUCCAAGAAAAGCUCGCAAUGUCAUAAAUAAAGAAUGCCUGUACCAUAACCGACACAGGUGGGUAGGUAGAGUAUACUAAGGGGCGCGAGAUAACUCUCUCUAAGGAACUCGGCAAAAUAACUCCGUAACUUCGGGAGAAGGAGUGCCUUCUUUAAGAAGGUUGCAAUAACAAGAUCCAAGCAACUGUUUAUCAAAAACACAGGUCUCCGCUAAGUCGUAAGACGAUGUAUGGGGGCUGACGCCUGCCCAGUGCCAGAAGGUUAAAGAAGCUGGUUAGCGAUAGCGAAGCUGGUGACUGAAGCCCUGGUGAACGGCGGCCGUAACUAUAACGGUCCUAAGGUAGCGAAAUUCCUUGUCGGGUAAGUUCCGACCCGCACGAAAGGCGUAAUGAUUUGGAUACUGUCUCGGAGAGGGACUCGGUGAAAUAGACUUGUCUGUGAAGAUGCGGACUACCUGCACCAGGACAGAAAGACCCUAUGAAGCUUUACUGUAACCUGAAAUUGAAAUUGACUUUAUUUGCGCAGUAUAGGUGGGAGGCGUUGAAAGUAAUCUUGCGGGAUUAGUGGAGCCAUCAGUGAGAUACCACUCCUAUAAUGUUAGAUUUCUAACUUUGGAUCAUGAUCUGGUCAAAGAACAGUUUCAGGCGGGCAGUUUGACUGGGGCGGUCGCCUCCCAAAUGGUAACGGAGGCGUACAAAGGUUUCCUCUGAACGGGUAGAAAUCGUAUCUAGAGUGUAAAGGCAUAAGGAAGCUUGACUGUGAGACCUACAAGUCGAGCAGGGACGAAAGUCGGUCUUAGUGAUCUGACGGUGCUGAGUGGAAAGGCCGUCACUCAACGGAUAAAAGUUACUCUAAGGAUAACAGGCUGAUCUCCCCCAAGAGUUCACAUCGACGGGGAGGUUUGGCACCUCGAUGUCGGCUCAUCGCAUCCUGGGGCGGUAGUACGUCCCAAGGGUUGGGCUGUUCGCCCAUGAAAGCGGUACGCGAGCUGGGUUCAGAACGUCGUGAGACAGUUCGGUCCAUAUCCGGUGUAGGCGUUAGAAUAUUGAGAGGAGCCUUCUCUAGUACGAGAGGACCGAGAAGGACAUACCUCUGGUGUACCAGUUAUCGUGCCAACGGUAAACGCUGGGUAGCUAUGUAUGGAGAGGAUAACCGCUGAAAGCAUCUAAGUGGGAAGCCCACCUCAAGAUGAGUAUUCUC
rnacentral:rRNA from 1 species